AACAGUGUUGUGUAAUGGUUUGAGUGCUGGACUAUGACUCUGGAGACCAGGGUUCGAAUCCCAGCUCGGCCA
rnacentral:tRNA from 1 species